rnacentral:rRNA from 1 species
UGGGGAAUUUUGGACAAUGGGCGAAAGCCUGAUCCAGCAAUGCCGCGUGUGUGAAGAAGGCCUUCGGGUUGUAAAGCACUUUUGUCCGGAAAGAAAUCCUUGGCUCUAAUACAGUCGGGGGAUGACGGUACCGGAAGAAUAAGCACCGGCUAACUACGUGCCAGCAGCCGCGGUAAUACGUAGGGUGCAAGCGUUAAUCGGAAUUACUGGGCGUAAAGCGUGCGCAGGCGGUUUGCUAAGACCGAUGUGAAAUCCCCGGGCUCAACCUGGGAACUGCAUUGGUGACUGGCAGGCUAGAGUAUGGCAGAGGGGGGUAGAAUUCCACGUGUAGCAGUGAAAUGCGUAGAGAUGUGGAGGAAUACCGAUGGCGAAGGCAGCCCCCUGGGCCAAUACUGACGCUCAUGCACGAAAGCGUGGGGAGCAAAACAGGAUUAGAUACCCUGGUAGUCCACGCCCUAAACGAUGUCAACUAGUUGUUGGGGACUUCAUUUUCCUUAGUAACGUAGCUAACGCGUGAAGUUGACCGCCUGGGGAGUACGGUCGCAAGAUUAAAACUCAAAUGAAUUGAC